ACCGACGAGAGAAUCCUGUCCUACAUGCGGGAUGCUUGCGGCUUUUUCCCAAAGGAGGGAAUUGAAGUAUUGAGACUUAUGUCAUUAAUAAAAGUUAGAGAUAAUCAUGAGCUCAUGAUACAUGACCAAUUAAGAAAUCUUGGUAGAGAAAUCGUUUGAGAGGAAAACCAGCAGGAGCCUUAGCACCGUAGCAGGUUAUGGGACUACAAGGUAGUCCUGAAAGUGCUAAAGGGAAAUAAGGGAACAGAAAAGAUUCAGGCCAU